CAGAUUCUGUCAAUCGCCACAAGCAACUGUCGCGAACCGGUCGGGAUCGGUUGGAUUCUAGUUCGCUACGGCUGGGAAACGCAGGAUAUUUUGCCUGGCCGGCAGAUCUCCCGCCGCCCACUCAGCGCAACCGGUGCUUGUGCAACAGGCGGUAGAAGGUCGGCCGCGAGACCCCGAGCAUCCGCGCGGCCACGCUGAGGU
rnacentral:sRNA from 1 species